CAGGGUCAUACCGAAUCAAGGUCGUGAAGAAGCAGGGUCAUACCGAAUCAAGGUCGUGAAGAAGCAGGGUCAUACCGAAUCAAGGUCGUGAAGAAGCAGGGUCAUACCGAAUCAAGGUCGUG